UUGUUACGUUAGUGGCAGCUGUUGC
rnacentral:piRNA from 1 species